rnacentral:rRNA from 1 species
UGGGGAUGACGUCAAGUCAGCAUGGCCUUUAUAUCCUGGGCUACACACACGCUACAAUGGGAAGGGACAAUAGGUUGCGAAGCCGCGAGGCGGAGCCAAUCCAGCAAAACUUCCCUCAGUUCAGAUUGCAGGCUGCAACUCGCCUGCAUGAAGUUGGAGUUGCUAGUAAACGCAGGUCAGCCAUACUGCGUUGAAUACGUUCCCGGGGCUU